rnacentral:rRNA from 1 species
CGCCUGUUUAUCAAAAACAUGUCUUUUAGAUUAUAUUAAAAGUCUAAUCUGCCCAAUGAUUUUUUAAUGGCCGCGGUAAACUGACCGUGCGAAGGUAGCAUAAUAAUUAGUCUUUUAAUUGAAGGCUUGAAUGAAUGAUUGGAUGAAAAGCUAUCUUUAUUAAUAUAAAAAUUUUAAUUUAACAUUUAAGUAAAAAGGCUUAAAUAUUUUAGUGGGACGAGAAGACCCUAUAGAAUUUGAAAUCUAUAAUUAUUAAAUUUAUUUAGAUAAAUAUUAAAUUUAAUAAUUAUGAAUUUUUUGUUGGGGUGACAUUAAAAUAUUAAUAACUUUUAAUUAAAUUUUCAUAGAUAAAUGAUUAUUAGAUCCAAUUUUUUUGAUUUUAAGACUAAAUUACCUUAGGGAUAACAGCGUUAUUAUUUUAAAAAGUUCUUAUUGAUAAAAUUAGAUUGCGACCUCGAUG